rnacentral:antisense_RNA from 1 species
GAUAGCCCCAAAUCGUGCCGAACUCCAGGGUGGGGUGCUCAACCAAGCGCACGGAGCCGAUCGCCGGGUCAUAGAGACCGCCCCAGGCCAUGGCCUUGGCCACCAACAGGAAGGCCCCCGAUCCCAACAGCAACAGGUGAAUGCCAAUAAUCGUGGUCAUUUUGUCCUUGUCGCGCCA